rnacentral:rRNA from 1 species
GAGGAAUAUUGGGCAAUGCCCGCAAGGGUGACCCAGCAACGCCGCGUGGAGGAUGAAUGUCGUAAGAUUGUAAACUCCUGUUAGAGGGGAAGAAUAGUACCGGUUGGACCGGUAUAUGACUGUACCCUCAGAGAAAGCCCCGGCUAACUACGUGCCAGCAGCCGCGGUAAUACGUAGGGGGCAAGCGUUGUCCGGAUUUACUGGGUGUAAAGGGCGCGCAGGCGGGAUAAAAAGUCAGUGGUGAAAUCCUACAGCUUAACUGUAGAACUGCCUGUGAUACUUUUAUUCUUGAGUUCGGGAGAGAGAGACUGAAUUCCAGGUGUAGUGGUGAAAUACGUAGAUAUCUGGAAGAACACCAGUUGCGAAGGCGGUCUCUUGGUCCGACACUGACGCUGAGGCGCGAAAGCGUGGGGAGCAAACA